rnacentral:rRNA from 1 species
AGUGAACGCUGGCGGUAGGCCUAACACAUGCAAGUCGAACGGCAGCACAGUAAGAGCUUGCUCUUACGGGUGGCGAGUGGCGGACGGGUGAGGAAUACAUCGGAAUCUACUUUUUCGUGGGGGAUAACGUAGGGAAACUUACGCUAAUACCGCAUACGACCUACGGGUGAAAGCAGGGGAUCUUCGGACCUUGCGCGAUUGAAUGAGCCGAUGUCGGAUUAGCUAGUUGGCGGGGUAAAGGCCCACCAUGGCGACGAUCCGUAGCUGGUCUGAGAGGAUGGUCAGCCACACUGGAACUGAGACACGGUCCAGACUCCUACGGAAGGCAGCAGUGGGGAAUAUUGGACAAUGGGCGCAAGCCUGAUCCAGCCAUACCGCGUGGGUGAAGAAGGCCUUCGGGUUGUAAAGCCCUUUUGUUGGGAAAGAAAAGCAGCAGGUUAAUACCCCGCUGUUCUGACGGUACCCAAAGAAUAAGCACCGGCUAACUUCGU